ensembl:lncRNA
UUGUUAAUGGGCCUCGUCCUGUCUUUAAAUACUAACAGCUAGAGGGAGUUAAAAGGAUUUCUGAAAGGUUUAUUUUAAGAGAUGCCUGGGCCUAGUGUCCAAGAACUGUUCUCCUUGAGUUAAUGGAAGUGCUGGACUAUGCUACUGGCUGUUGCCCAGAAGGACUCGUGGUGCCUGCGUGCGAAGGGCCAUGGCUCUUCUGUGGACCCACAACUUCACAGAAAUUUCAUGAGAGCCGACUUCUCUCAUCUGCCUUAGACAGAUCCUGUAAGUUUUGUAGGUUUGUGUGUGAUGAUGGAUAAGAGACUUGGUGAAAGAGCUUUUGACAUUCCUGCCAUCACCUCCAGAAAGUGCGAGUAGAGCACUAGAGCGUUUUUCAGAAGACUCGAAGAAAAUACCCUUUCAUUCAGGAUCAAGCUUGCUAUUUAAGUGCCUUCAACCAACUCAACAGGAAAACAAGAGACAGCCAAAAAAAAUCACACUUCACUUUCUAGAAUGUUGAUAGCUUUACCAUAAUCCACUCAUGUGUUCACUGAUCUAAAGACAAAGAACUCGCUCGUACCAGAGGUUGGGUUUACUUACCCUGUAUGUCUGGACAUGAAUGGCCUCCCCUCUCUAAGUGUCCAGCUGUUUGGCACUGAGGAGACAGGCUGUUCGGAUCACUGAUGCAAUUGUGGAACCCAGUGGCCUGAAGCCGGUCAGUGAAGAGGCUGCUCGGAUCCCCGGGCCUCACAGGCCACAGGAAGCCAGCGAGGGCGGGGCUCCGAGCCUGUUUAAGGCCAGGUCCCUGCGGAGCGCAGCCUCCUACAUACCAGGUAGCACCAGGUAGUUUUCCACCACAAAUUUGCUCCAGAAUCACCUAGAAGCUCUGGAAAUGCAAAUCCACUGAGUCAGAGCGCUGGAAUUGAGCCGCAGACUGCAAUUUUAACAAGCACUGCAGGUGACUUUGAGCUUAAGAACCACCAGUCUCACACGUGGACUUUAAAAACUCACGUGGAGAAUAUUUCUCAUUCCUCAGUUUAAAACAUUCUUUAAUAGUAUCUCCGCUUAGAGCGGAGAAGUUCCAGGAAACAGAAUGCCAAGCCCUGGAGGGGACAGGAUAUGGGCUUCAGAAUCAUCACGUGCUGUCUCCUACCACGCUCAGGUCAGGUGAGAGGGGCCUCGUUACCUGGGACCUGCUGUGAGGCAGCGGCUGUGACUAGCUCUCCAGGUCCUUCCAGUUAAGCUUGAACUGUGUUUUUUAGAGGCUUGAGCUGAACGCCCCUUGGUUCCAGGUGGAACACAUUUUCACUUAAAACCAUCAAAUGUUGGCUCUGAAGGGAAUUGAGAGAUCUAGUCCAGAGCCCCCAUUUUUAUAAAGGAGGAGUUACUGGUUAGAAGCAGACAAUAAUGCUACGAUGAUAAAUUCCUGAAUUUAUAUUCAAGGAGCUUCAUGGAGAGAGGGAGUUAGGAGGAGAGCAAUCAAGUAGGAACUAAAUCAUCCUCUCCAAAUUCAGAGAGGCCUCCAGUUUCCUGACAAUCCUUUCAAGGGGAGUGCAUGCCAGGCGGGGACUCUCAAAUUCCCCAGCGUCGCCAGGCUUCCCUGUCGGCUCAGAGAGGACAGCUUGCCCUGCCGGCCCUGGCUGAGCAGGCUCUUCCACCCAGAAACACACCAACCCCUAACGUGGCCUGGUCCGUGGUCUGGUUUGUUCCCUACAUGGUGUCAGUUCUGUACCAAGUUUUGCUCUGGGCCCUGGUAUAUAUCAUUAACAGGAGAGGUGGGAGCUACUCUCACGGAGCUCACUGUCUCAUUACAAACUCAUUAAAUUCUGUUUCUGUGUUUUAACUGUCCAGUUUCUGCUUUGAGAGAAAAUUUUGGUGCUUUGUUUUUGAUAAAGAAUAAUUCACUCACUCCUUCAUUUUCUCUUUCCACAAUAUUCAUAGGAAACCGCACCAUCAGGCAUGUAAUACACCCUGUGGGCCAAGCAUUACUUUAGGUGCUGGGGAGUCAGCAGUAAAUGAGGGAAACGUGGCCCCCUCUCAAGGAGUUUUCAAUCAAGUGUAGAGAGGCAGGAAAUCGAUAAAGAACAAGGCAAUUACUGUGGUGAGUGCAAGGGUGAUAUGACAGAGUGGCUAGGAGUGGGAGUGAAGAAAGCCUUCUCUGAAAGGGUUACAUUUGACUUGAGAUUUGAAUGAUACAAGAAGCCUGUUGAGAGAAGGAGGGCAGGGAACAGCAUGUGCAAAGGCCCUGAGCCAGAAGUGAAUUUGGUGCUGUUCCGGGAACAGAGAGGAGGUCAGGGUGGAGAAGUAGGGAGGGACUGGAUCACAGACAGCCUUGCAGGUGGUGGAUGGGGUUUUAAGCUAUGGAGAAACUUGAUCUGAUUAACAUUUUUAAAGCUCCUCCGGUUGCGUUGAGGAGAGUGGAUGUGGUGAGGGGAGAACAAAGCAGGAACACCCACUACAAGGCUAUUGCAGUCUUUCAGCUGUUUCUCCUCUCUGCCCAUGACCCAGAGUAAAAUAGGACCUCUCAGGUCUCGGUGGCUGGGGCUUCAACACAGUGCCUAUAAUGGAAUGGCUCAUGGUGAGGAGCUGUUGGAGCCCCUCGGCCACCUUCCCGUUCAGAGAGCAUCGUGAUCCAUGGCUGAUGCUCAGCGUCUCCAGGUUCCUGCCACGUGGCAUGCCGUGAAUGAAGAGACGAAGCCAUAGGGAGCUGCUGAAAUAGCUGUUCAUCCAGUUUGGACGGAAGGUUUCUAAAAGAGAGAAGGGCUAAUGAGGGUCUCAAACAGGCUGGAUAGAGCAGGGACCUGGCUAGGCAGAGGGACAAGAGAGGACUUGCCCCAGGCCAGGGUAGAGCGUGCUGGAGAAGAAUUGCUCAGAACUUGGCAAUGGCAAGCACCCUGAGGCCUGGGUGCUCUUCAGUGAGGCGCUCAGCGUGCUCCUUAGACUGGCUCUCCAUUGAUGGGGCUAAGUUGCAGCUCUGUUGGGGCGGGGUUAGCUGAUAGAUUUUUGUUUGGUGGAGAUGCAAGUAAUUUCUGUCCUGUGGGGGGAAAAUCAACACAAAGGUUAUGGUUUCUGACUCUGUGAGACAUUCAUCAGUUUAGGUUUAAUGUAGUGACCUUAUCCUAACUUU